AACGAACGCUGGCGGCAUGCCUAACACAUGCAAGUCGAACGAAGGCUUCGGCCUUAGUGGCGCACGGGUGCGUAACGCGUGGGAAUCUGCCCUUGGGUUCGGGAUAACAGUUAGAAAUGACUGCUAAUACCGGAUGAUGUCGCAAGACCAAAGAUUUAUCGCCCGAGGAUGAGCCCGCGUUGGAUUAGCUAGUUGGUGGGGUAAAGGCCUACCAAGGCGACGAUCCAUAGCUGGUCUGAGAGGAUGAUCAGCCACACUGGGACUGAGACACGGCCCAGACUCCUACGGGAGGCAGCAGUGGGGAAUAUUGGACAAUGGGCGAAAGCCUGAUCCAGCAAUGCCGCGUGAGUGAUGAAGGCCUUAGGGUUGUAAAGCUCUUUUACCCGGGAUGAUAAUGACAGUACCGGGAGAAUAAGCCCCGGCUAACUCCGUGCCAGCCGCCGCCGUAACAC
rnacentral:rRNA from 1 species